GAUGAACGCUGGCGGCGUGCCUAAUACAUGCCAGUCGAGCGAACAGAUGAGGAGCUUGCUCCUCUGACGUUAGCGGCGGACGGGUGAGUAACACGUGGAUAACCUACCUAUAAGACUGGGAUAACUUCGGGAAACCGGAGCUAAUACCGGAUAAUAUAUUGAACCGCAUGGUUCAAUAGUGAAAGACGGUUUUGCUGUCACUUAUAGAUGGAUCCGCGCCGCAUUAGCUAGUUGGUAAGGUAACGGCUUACCAAGGCAACGAUGCGUAGCCGACCUGAGAGGGUGAUCGGCCACACUGGAACUGAGACACGGUCCAGACUCCUACGGGAGGCAGCAGUAGGGAAUCUUCCGCAAUGGGCGAAAGCCUGACGGAGCAACGCCGCGUGAGUGAUGAAGGUCUUCGGAUCGUAAAACUCUGUUAUUAGGGAGGAACAAAUGUGUAAGUAACUAUGCACGUCUUGACGGUACCUAAUCAGAAAGCCACGGCUAACUACGUG
rnacentral:rRNA from 1 species